UACAGAGGGUGCAAGCGUUGUUCGGAAUUAUUGGGCGUAAAGGGCGCGUAGGCGGUGCCACAAGUCACCUGUGAAAUCUCCGGGCUUAACUCGGAGCCUGCAGGCGAAACUGUGGUGCUGGAGUGUGGGAGAGGUGCGUGGAAUUCCUGGUGUAGCGGUGAAAUGCGCAGAUAUCAGGAGGAACACCGGUGGUGUAAACGGCUUUCUGGACCAUAACUGACGCUGAGGCACGAAAGCGUGGGUAGCAAACAGG
rnacentral:rRNA from 1 species